GACAUAGGUGGCGAACGUUAUCCGGAAUUAUUGGGCGUAAAGAGCGUGUAGGCGGCCAGGUAGGUCUGCUGUGAAAACUCGAGGCUCAACCUCGAGAUGUCGGCGGAAACCAUCUGGCUAGAGUCCGGAAGAGGAGAGUGGAAUUCCUGGUGUAGCGGUGAAAUGCGCAGAUAUCAGGAAGAACACCCGUGGCGAAGGCGGCUCUCUGGGACGGUACUGACGCUGAGACGCGAAAGCGUGGGGAGCGAACAGG
rnacentral:rRNA from 1 species